ACGAAUCUAGAAAUAGAAUAGUGGUAACGAGGUCGAUCCCAUAGGGAUUGUUAUAAAUUGAAAAGUCUAAUUUAAAUCUAAAAUUAAUAUUAAUUCUAACCUAGUUGACCAAAUUGAGUUUCUAAGAAAAUUAAACCAAUUAAACUAAGGAAGCAAUUAAAAUAAAGGAGAAUUCAAUAAGAUAAGAAUUACCAAGGUUUCAGAAUCCACCACUAUUCAACUAGUAAUUAUCUAAAUAUUCAUUAAUUCCCAAUUUUAGAGUGACAACUCGAAAUCAAUAUAUGUUAUCUCAUAAAUAUAACAAUAAGCCCAAUUAAAAUUAAUCUAAUGUAGGUUCUUUUUCCGCUCAAUAGUAUGACAUCUAAGCAUUCCAUGUGAACAUAUUGAAUAACAAAGAGUCAACGUUUUCCUAAGCACUCUGUGUAAACAAUUUAAUGAAAGACACGAAAUCAAAGAUAAUCAUGUAUAAACUUUAUAGAUNNNNNNNNNNNNNNNNNNNNNNNNNNNNNNNNNNNNNNNNNNNNNNNNNNNNNNNNNNNNNNNNNNNNNNNNNNNNNNNNNNNNNNNNNNNNNNNNNNNNNNNNNNNNNNNNNNNNNNNNNNNNNNNNNNNNNNNNNNNNNNNNNNNNNNNNNNNNNNNNNNNNNNNNNNNNNNNNNNNNNNNNNNNNNNNNNNNNNNNNNNNNNNNNNNNNNNNNNNNNNNNNNNNNNNNNNNNNNNNNNNNNNNNNNNNNNNNNNNNNNNNNNNNNNNNUUCAUCCUUAACCUCAGUAUAAGAAAAUUAGCUAGACAUACUUAAAUUGUGAGCAACAAAAGAAAUAAAAUCAGCCAUGGAAGCCGAAAUAUUGCUGCUGCCGCUGCUCUCUGUUCAAAGCCGAAUUCUCCUUUUUGUUUCCGUCCAGCCUUUAAUUCAAAAGAAAAACUCCCUUUUAUAUUGCUUGGCCACUGAAUCCUAUUAUGAUUCUAAUAACUAAACCAACUCUUACAAGCUAAAGCUCUAAGCCUGCCAGGUAAUUGAAAACAAUAAAAGCCAAAAGCUAUUGAUUCCCUUCCUUUAUUCUAUUUUGACUUUCCAUUCAAAGACUUAAUUAAAAACUUUGUUUAAUGUGCUGCCCACUUUAGCUUUAAACCUCUUCUUUGUUUGCACGAGCAUGGAUAUUCAAUUUAUUGGCUUCGGUUUCUUCAAACAUAAUUUCUUGCACAUCUCCUUAAUUACUUCCACAAAUUGAUUUGAUCUUCAAUGCUGUCCAAUUGUUAUUCUUUACGUACUUUUCAUCCAUAAUCUCCAAUUAAUUUCCUAUGCAAUAACAUAAUUCAAUUAAUUAAAAAUAACAAAUAAAAAUAACUAGCAAUUAUAUAAUUAAGGGUAAAAUGUGUAUAUAAAUUAUACUCAUCAAAUACACCCAGACUUAUAUUUUGCUAGUUCUCGAGCAAAACUAAAACUAAAACUAAAAACAAAAACAAAAGUAAUGAAACAAAAAGUAAAUCCUAACUAAACCACUUUCACAGGUGAUCGCGAUUGCAUUUAGCGUAUGCAGCAAGCCUUUAAACCCCUAGGCGGCCCUAGUGGACGAGUUAUAGUCUCGCGAGGGCUUUAGUGAUGAUACCCACAAACAUCAUUUAAAAAAAAUUAAAUUAAAAAAACAAAAAACUUUAAAUAAAACAUGAAAAAUAGCCUCAAAGAUUGCAAAAAUUAUAUAGCUCAAAGAAAAUUUCAAAUAUUGGCAAAGUUCUAACUUUAAUUCAAUAAUAAAUCCCAUCUCUCUUUCGAUUCUUGUAGUGUGUGUGUGAAAUCAAUUCAAUCAAAUUCAUUCCUAAAAUCUUCAAUAUCAACAGCCUUCGCCUCAAACAAAGAAAAGAGUAGGUCAAACUAAUCUUAUCAUCUUGAUCUCUAAUGUUUUCCUCUCACAGGCUUUUAUGUGCAUUUUCUUUUGAUUUUUUUUUCAGCACAUGCACUUGAUUUCAUUUUUUUUUCUUUUCCUUUUUUUUCUUUUUUUUUUCCUUAACCACUUGUGGUACAUAGGCCCAAAUUACUCAAGGAUAGCUUCACUCUUAAGGGUUAUAGGUAGCUAUUUCUGACUUUGGCGCCUGUGUAUACUAUUUUGUAUUGUGGAGAUAAGAAUCAAGACAAACAGUCAUUUACUCUAUCUAAAAUUCUCAACUCAGGCUGCAUCAAUCUCAAAUUUCAAGUCAAAAUCAUGAAAGAACGGAUAUUAGUGCUCAUGAUGUGUAAAGAAUCUCAAUAAAGAGGAACUAACACAAGAAUCAAGUAUAAACUAAGACAAUAUUCAACCCUUUCUAAGAACCAUAUUCAUUAUCAAUCAAGUUUUUAUCAUUGGCUUUUCACAUAAAAACAAAAAGAAAAAAAUUUUUUUUUUUUGAAUUUUUGAAAUUUUUUGAUUUUUUUAAUAACAAACAAAACACACACUAUUCCCACCCCCAAACUUAUUUGGAAUAUUGUCCUCAAUGUUUCACAAACAAAAGAUAAGCAUGCAAACAAAUGAAAGAAAAAUAAUAAUAAAAACAUAAAUAAUAAAAAGAAAGUUGGAGAGAACACACCUGGAUGGGCUGAGAAAGCUUAAAAAAAUGACAACUAAAAAGAAAACGUUAGAAGAAAUAUAAAUAAUGAAAUAAAAAAAAUCAUACUAACUAACAAAUUAAUGUAAACAAUAAAUCAACCAGGAUCAAUAAGAAUUUGGUGAAAAUCAAAGCAAUUAUACAGAAAAUACCAGAAAGCAUAAUUGAUUAAGCACUGGAGCAUUUUAUCCAUAAAAGGAUGAUGGUAAUGAAACUCCUCAAUAUCGCACUGCUUUGAUCUCUUAUGUUCCAAGCUUUCCUGAGAGUUAUCUGAAGUAGUAUAAAAAUCUAAUAAUUUAAGCACUUUAGAUCUUACCACCUUUUUCAUGUCAGAAUGUGACCUAUGUUGUAUUUUUUUAGGAAGUAGCUCCAACUUGAAUGGUUCACUUUUCUCUUCAGUAGGAAGUGGCUCAAUGUUUUCUUUCCACUUAAUUAGAUCUAUGAUAAGAGUCGAAUCAAGUAAAUCAUUAACUUCUUCAAUACCACUAUCAACAUCAACAAAGAAAUCAGAGUCAGUUAUGCAUGGUAUUAAUGGAUUGUCACAGUGGUUUUGUGAGUCAUCAAUUGAUGCUUCUAUCAUAUCUACUUCAACGACUUCAUCAUCUUCUUGUGCCUGCUUGGGAACAUUAAAAAUGUUUAAUUCUAUGGUCAUGUUACCAAAAGACAAUUGCAUGUUUCCAGUCCUGCAACUAAUAUGAGCAGCAGCUGUAGCUAAGAAAUGACGACCUAGAAUAAUUGGGGUGUGUUUCUUAAGAUCUUGUACAUGCUGAGUAUCAAUAACAAUAAAAUCAACAUGAUAAUAAAAUUUGUCAAUUUGUGUCAGCACAUCCUCUAUAAUACCACGAGGUAUUUUCAUUGACCUAUCAGCAAGUUACAAAACAAUGGAAGUUGAUUUUAACUCACCUAGUCCAAGUUGCAUGUAAAUAGAAUAAGGCAAAAGAUUAACACUAGUACCCAAAUCCAAUAAUGUUUUAUCAAAACAUUGGUUUCUUAUAACACAUGAGAUAGUAGGAGAACCUGGAUCCUUAAAUUUUGGUGGCAUUUUACAUUAAAGUAAAUUGCUAGUUUGUUCAGUUAAAAAUGCCUUUUUGGUGACAUGCAAGUUUCUCUUUUUAGUGCAUAAAUCUUUCAAAAACUUGGUAUAUGAAGGAACUUGCUUAAUAGCAUCGAGUAAAGAGAUGUUUAUACUUACCUGCUUGAAGAUUUCCAUAAUCUCACCUGUUGAAGUCCAUUUCUUUACCUUUGAGGAAAAUUAGCCUUGGGAAUGUAAGCUGGCGGGUCACUCUCUUCUGGAUCAUUUAGUGAUGAGUCUUGUGAUGAAACUGGAUCUGAAGAAGUAGGUUCAGAUGUCUUCCUUGUUGAAACCUCCACCUUGUUGUCAAAUAAUUUUCCUCUUCUCAAGGUCAUAACAGAUUUUACUUCUUCAUGCUGAUGGCUUGAACUCGAUCCAACUUCAUGCACUCCUUUAGGAUUGGGAAUUGAUUGACUGGAGAAUUUUCCUUUUUCUCUCUCCGCUACAGUAGUUGCUAAUUGACCCAAUUGAUGUUCAAGCUUUAGAAUAGCUUGAGUGUUUGACUGAAAAGCUUGUUGGGUUAACUGAAUGAAACUUUGAAGUGUAUCCUCUAAAGAAGGUUUUCUUUGUUGGGGUGCAACAAAUUGAGACGUAGGUUGUUGGGCAGGGGGAUAUACUUGGUUAGGAGGGACAAAUUGUUGAUUGGGCAUGUUAAAUUGUUGUCCUCCUUGGUUUGACAAAGGUUGAUUUUGUUUCCAAGAAAAAUUAGGGUGAUUCCUCCAAUUAGGAUUAUAUGUGAGUAAAUAUGGAUUAUUGGAGGUUUUUUCAUAUGAUUGUAAGACAUGUACCUACUCAGAAUAAGCCUCUGGAUAGACUGGUAAUGAUGGACAAUUUUGUAUUGUAUGAGACAAGUUAGAACAAAUAGCACAAACCUCAUUAGCUACACUAGGAUGAUGAUUCAUUGAUUGGUUCAGAGCUAAGGCAUCUACUUUUCUAGAAAGUGUAACUAGAGUGGAUUUCACAUCAAAAUCAUCAUUAACUUCAUAUAACCCCUUUCUAGAAACUUGAGAUGAUUUUUCCCUUUGGUUUGAAAAAUCACACUCUUGAGAAUUCUCAGAAAGUGAAUUAAAGAAAUCUCAUGCAGCCCCUUCAUGUAGGUUCAAAAAUCUCUCACCAUUCAUAGACUCUACCAUAUGACGAUUCGACAUGGUUAAACUGUUAUAAAAGCAUUGUAUAAGUCUCCAUUUCUCAAAACCAUGGUGGGGACACUUAAUGAGUAAAUCAUUGAAUCUUUCCCAGCACUCAUAAAAUUGCUCACCCUCUCUUUGAUAAAAAUCACUUAUCUCUCUCUUAAGGGCAUUUGUUUUAGACAUAGGGAAAAACUUGGUGAGGAAAUUAUUACUUAAUUCAUCCCACGUAGUUAUAGAACCAGCAGGAAGCGAAUUCAACCAAGCUUUCACUACUACUAUCAAUUUUCGACUCUCUUUUAACCAAACGAUUUGUUGAAUCACGUUCCCAAACACUCAUAAACUAACUAGACAAGGAAAGAAAGAAAAAUAAAAUAAAAUAAACCAACAAAAAUGAGAAUAAACGAAAUUUAAAAAUAAAAGAAAUCAAACAACCAAACAAUGAAUUUAAAGACAAAUAAAAGUUUUUUUUUGUGUUUUUUUAAUUAAAAAAUAAAAGACAACCUAAAUUAUAACUAGUAGAAGAAUUAAAUCAACCUAGAUUAAACUGACUUUCUAGCACAAUCCCCCGCAACGACGCUAAAAACUUGUAACCUCCACCUUGUUGUCAAAUAAUUUUCCUCUUCUCAAGGUCAUAACAGAUUUUACUUCUUCAUGCUGAUGGCUUGAACUCGAUCCAACUUCAUGCACUCCUUUAGGAUUGGGAAUUGAUUGACUGGAGAAUUUUCCUUUUUCUCUCUCCGCUACAGUAGUUGCUAAUUGACCCAAUUGAUGUUCAAGCUUUAGAAUAGCUUGAGUGUUUGACUGAAAAGCUUGUUGGGUUAACUGAAUGAAACUUUGAAGUGUAUCCUCUAAAGAAGGUUUUCUUUGUUGGGGUGCAACAAAUUGAGACGUAGGUUGUUGGGCAGGGGGAUAUACUUGGUUAGGAGGGACAAAUUGUUGAUUGGGCAUGUUAAAUUGUUGUCCUCCUUGGUUUGACAAAGGUUGAUUUUGUUUCCAAGAAAAAUUAGGGUGAUUCCUCCAAUUAGGAUUAUAUGUGAGUAAAUAUGGAUUAUUGGAGGUUUUUUCAUAUGAUUGUAAGACAUGUACCUACUCAGAAUAAGCCUCUGGAUAGACUGGUAAUGAUGGACAAUUUUGUAUUGUAUGAGACAAGUUAGAACAAAUAGCACAAACCUCAUUAGCUACACUAGGAUGAUGAUUCAUUGAUUGGUUCAGAGCUAAGGCAUCUACUUUUCUAGAAAGUGUAACUAGAGUGGAUUUCACAUCAAAAUCAUCAUUAACUUCAUGCCCCUUCAUGUAAGUUCAAAAAUCUCCCACCAUUCAUAGACUCUACCAUAUGACGAUUCGACAUGGUUAAACUGUUAUAAAAGCAUUGUAUAAGUCUCCAUUUCUCAAAACCAUGGUGGGGACACUUAAUGAGUAAAUCAUUGAAUCUUUCCCAGCACUCAUAAAAUUGCUCACCCUCUCUUUGAUAAAAAUCACUUAUCUCUCUCUUAAGGGCAUUUGUUUUAGACAUAGGGAAAAACUUGGUGAGGAAAUUAUUACUUAAUUCAUCCCACGUAGUUAUAGAACCAGCAGGAAGCGAAUUCAACCAAGCUUUCACUUUGUCUUUUAAUGAGAAAGAGAACAUACGAAGCCUAAUUGACUCAUCAUUAAAAUUUUGAAAACGGAAUGUAGAGCAUAUGUCAAGAAAUUCCUUAAUGUGCAAAUAUGGAUCCUCUCUCUCUAACCCAUGGAAAGAUGGUAAAAGUUGAAUGACUGAGGGCUUAAGUUGAAAGUGUGUUGCUGUAGUUUGUGGCAACACAAUACAAGAUGGUUGGUUGGCUGCAAGUGGUGAAAAAUAUUCUCUAAGGGUUUUCUCUGUUUGCACUAGUGGAAGUAUUGGCAAUAGUCUAUUUGGGUCAUCCAUCACUUCUAAAGAACUAGUUUGACUACUAUCAAUUUUCGACUCUCUUUUAACCAAACGAUUUGUUGAAUCACGUUCCCAAACACUCAUAAACUAACUAGACAAGGAAAGAAAGAAAAAUAAAAUAAAAUAAACCAACAAAAAUGAGAAUAAACGAAAUUUAAAAAUAAAAGAAAUCAAACAACCAAACAAUGAAUUUAAAGACAAAUAAAAGUUUUUUUUGUGUUUUUUUAAUUAAAAAAAUAAAAGACAACUUAAAUUAUAACUAGUGGAAGAAUCAAAUCAACCUAGAUUAAACUGACUUUCUNNNNNNNNNNNNNNNNNGGAUUGUUAUAAAUUGAAAAGUCUAAUUUAAAUCUAAAAUUAAUAUUAAUUCUAACCUAGUUGACCAAAUUGAGUUUCUAAGAAAAUUAAACCAAUUAAACUAAGGAAGCAAUUAAAAUAAAGGAGAAUUCAAUAAGAUAAGAAUUACCAAGGUUUCAGAAUCCACCACUAUUCAA
rnacentral:lncRNA from 1 species